rnacentral:rRNA from 1 species
CCCUUAGAUGUCCUGGGCCGCACGCGCGUUACACUGAUGCAUUCAACGAGCUUAUAACCUUGGCCGAGAGGCCUGGGCAAUCUUGUUAACGUGCAUCGUGAUAGGGAUAGAUUAUUGAAAUUAUUAAUCUUGAACGAGGAAUUCCUAGUAAACGCAGAUCAUCAAUCUGCAUUGAUUACGUCCCUGCCCUUUGUACACACCGCCCGUCGCUACUACCGAUUGAAUGGCUUAGUGAGCCUUUGGGAUUGGCAGCCAACACCGGCAACGGUAGCUGGCCGCCGAAAACUUAUGCAAACUUGGUCAUUUAGAGGAAGUAAAAGUCGUAACA